rnacentral:lncRNA from 1 species
GUAAUACCCCCAGAGAAUGUCAUAGGUCACAUAAGUAGGGAGGAGGGUGUUCAUCUAUACAACUCCUGGAGAAGUCAGAGUGCAGAGUUGUUAGACGGUUAGAGAGAAAAUAGUUAGAGAAGUAGAGUUGCCCCUAGCUAGCGCCUCUGCUCCCUCCCAUCCUGGCAGGCUAGAGCAUAUCCAUAUGACUAGCCACCAAUGCAAGCAGACUGCACUAUGACCCAGAGAGGCAUGUCUGACCUCGGACAGCGGUCAGAGAGCGUCUUCCGAUUAGCUGGUUUCUCUGCCAGUCGGGUACAUCAGGAUUCUUAUAAGGCCACCGAGCAGGUAAAGACAGGGAUCUACUUUCUGGUCAAACUCAUAACACGGGUCACUAUAGCUUAGCUACCUACUUUGGUAUUCACAACAACUAACUCCAGAGGGGUCCCACCAAACUCUUCAAGUAGCUCGUGGAUGCAAUGCCGUGUACGUCAGCCAUGGUCUUAGGAUAGAGCUACCAUCUGCAGAAACCAAGCUAAUGUGGCCCACUAUAGGGCACCUCAUCUAAGAUUAGUACCAAACCUGGCUGUAGAAAACAAAGAAAGAUCAACACAGAAAUUAAGUCGAAGGGUUAUGUGCUAGGACAGCCCACCAGGUUAUUAGUCUGUGUGGGCUGACGCUCUCAGGCGGUCUAGAGGCGAGUCCUUAAGAGAUUAGGAUCUCCAGGGAAAAGUCAGGAGAGCCAGAAAUGUAGGUUUUGGGUCAUCCGCAGGGUGAGGGUAGAGAUGGCAUGGUCAUUAGGGCUAUAUGAAGCUGGGCUUGACUUCUUGCUCUGCCACUUACUAGCUAAAUAUCUAAGUAGUAAAGUUCCUUUUCCUGGCUAAACCUCAAGUUCAUCAUCUGCAAAACCAUCUACUUUUUAGGUUGAUCAAAUGUGAAAUGAGGUCAUUCUUUCUAGGUCCCUGAAGCCACAAGAAUAAGUGAGAUCGUCUCCCCCACUCCCAGGAAAGGCUUCAGAAUAAGCAGGAAAAGACGGAAAGAUCUAACGAUACAAAAAGAUGGAGGAAUUUGGAUCCACCAUCACCCACAUUCUAAUUCUGGAUUCACCAUUUACUAGCUCUAUGAACUUCACACACAAGUGAAAAGAAGGAAAGGAUGAUGAAGCGCGGGGCAGGAAAGAACAAGAAAGUCAACAGUGUAAGAAGAACUAGCACCUCUUUUAUUCUAAUGAGAUAUUACUAUGACUUUUGGCCGAUUAAACUGUGAACAUUUGUUUUUAAGUGAGUUUUUCCACAUUAGUCUACUGGACUGAGAGCCACUGAAGCAGAGCUUUUCAAAUCUGAAAGUCUAUCAGAAUUACCUGGGGGAGCUUGUUAACAUGCACAGUCCUGCCCCUUCUUCCCCAGAUCCUGACUCAGUAGGUCUAGGGUGAGGCCCAUGAUUUUGCAUUUCUAACAAGUGCCCAGGUAAUACUUUGUUACUGGUCUUCAUACCACACCUCAGCGCUGCACUAAACGGCAGGAUCUAUGCCUCAAGCAGUUACACCUUUAAUAAGCGCCCAGUAUGUUCAACACCCUACAGUAGCUACUUAGAGAAGAAGGAACAUAAUCUGUUUUCAACAAGCUCAUUGUCUUGCAGGAGCAAAAAAGAUACCUACAGAACUUUUUUCAUCUCUUAUCAACUUGAAAUUUAUUAUGGAGAAAAUUCUCAUCAUAAUGCAAAGAUGAUAAUAAUAGUACCCACUUCAUAGCAUGAUUGAGAAGAUUAAAUAAGAUCAUAUAGGGAAGCCAUGGAAUAUAAAGAAUUUAUUUUGAACAAUGCCUGGCACAUAGUAGAUGUUGAAAUCUUGGCCCUUGAGGUGGGGUAUGGGAAAGGGUAAGCGAGAGCUCACAGUCAUUGGUGGGAUUCUCAAGAAUCAGUCAAGCAAUAGGACCAGGAGUCACUCACAUGCGGCUGUGGUGGGCUCACUGAUACCCACAACAGGCAGUGGAUGAGGAAACCAAAGCACUGUUUCAGAUAGGAGUAUAAAGUUUCCCCAAACCAAGAGGUGGAAAGCACAUCUUGAAAAUUCAGAGACAAAACUUAGCAGACAAAAGGAAACAGAAAUGAUUGAAAGAAAGCAAAAUAUGUACUCUGGGCAACUCCCAGAAACCCCACUGACUGCAGCCUACUCUCAUGCAGCAACUGCAACAUGAAAUGGAGUCGGAUUGUCUGCUAUUAAAAGUUAGGCACUAGAUGAACUGAGUAAAUCCAUGAUCAAGAGUGGAAGCUGGUGGAAAUUAUGUUUAAUCACCAAAAGCAAUUCUGUUUUCCCUUUCAAAGCCUUUAUUUCUACAGAAGCAAUUCUCAGCCUUGACUGCACAUUGGAAUCACCUAGAGAGCCUGAAAAACUACUGAUGAUUAGAUCUCGCCUCCAGAGAUUCUGAUUUAAUUGGUCAGGGUGUAGCCAGGGCACAGGGAUGUUUAAAGUCUUCUCUAGUGAUUCUAAUGUCCAGCCAACAUUGAGAACCACUGUUAAAGUCUUCAUGACUCUUCCAGGCUCAGCUGCUAUGAAGAAAAAAAAAUUCAAAGACUCCACUAUGUAAGAAUUUCUAAAUAGGUGUCAAAAAUAAUUAAUGCUAUAAAAGGUCAAAAGAAAGUUUGUUAGGAAAGUUUCUUUGGGGAGAGUUAUUCUGUAACUCCUAUCCCCAGAAUGUAGGUGUAGGGAAUGCCUCCUUCUUCCCCUUAGUUAAGAGAGGGGGGCUUCAGGGGCUGGCCCCGUGGCUGAGCGGUUAGGUUCACACACUCUGCUGCAGGCAGCCCAGUGUUUCGUUGGUUCGAAUCCUGGGCGUGGACAUGGCACUGCUCAUCAAACCAUGCUGAGGCGGCGUCCCACAUGCCACAACUAGAAGGACCCACAACGAAGAAUAUACAACUAUGUACCGGGGGGCUUUGGGGAAAAAAAGGAAAAAAAUAAAGUCUUAAAAAAAAAAUAGAGGGGGGGGCUUCAGCAGGACUGCUUAGAGAGUUUUAUAUCAUCUGACAUAGCCAGGGAGACACAGUGGCUUGGUGUCUGACCAGUGGAAAAGUUUAAAGGCAGGAAGAAAUUUACUAACUGCUCCAAUGUUAAGAGGCAAGGAGAGGUAAACUGCUUUGGGAUGGGCCUGCACUUCCGGUUUGUCAGGACAAAGGAUCCCUAAGCAGAUUGCUCAGAAGAUGCAAAUUUGCAUGCCCUAGAAGCUCAUUCUCUCCACUCUUUCAGCAGCUUAGCAAAGAGCUGGCCUACCAGGUCUGCGUUCACUCAAAAGGAAACAGGCUAAUAAAAACAGCUGAUCUUGGAAGGUUUCAUCCUUCUAUUUUAUCUUUUUACUUAUAUCUUUCAUCUUUUUGUUUCCUAAAAGUAAGAGAAAUUUCAUGAGAAUGCCUACAUUUUCAAGUAGAAGCAAGGAAAGCACCUGCCCUCUGAAUACAUUUAAAGAGAGAGUGGAUGUCAAGAAAGAAAGAGAGUGAUGUCAGCAAAAUGGCAUACUAGGAGGUCCCAGCCCUUGUCCCCCUGCCAAAAAAAAAAAAAAAAAAAAAAAACAAGAAACAAUUUAACAACUAUCCAUGGAGGAAAAUAGCUGUGGGAAAGCUCCCGAUUACAAUUAAGAAGCUAUAGCAACCCAGUUGAACACAAAACCAAGGAUGGCCACACAGAAAAGGUAGGAAUCAUUUUACCUGCAUCAUUCCCCCCAAUUUCUAGGCCAGCACAGCUCAGUGCCAAGAGGAAUCCCCUACACUGUGAGUUCCUCCAAAGGGUAAAAGGCGAGCAAAAGGACCCCAGCAGCCCACACUGCCACUUUGGAUCCCCACAACUUUCACUACUGAGGACCUCCACAGUCUUAGCCAAUGGAGAUCUUAGCUGCUGGAGCUGCCAGGAGCCCAUGCCAAUGAACCCUGCCCCCCAAAGUGGCCCCAUUGUGCCCUCCCUACAGCCCUGUUGCCACCACAGGUACACUCGCUCACUCCAGAUCUGGAACUGCCACACAACCACCAGACCCAGUGGCACCAUGAACCCACUGGAACUCAGAACAUAUCCCCAGAAUGGGCAUCACUGCAUGUCCCCAGAUGUGGCACUAGUUGCAGCACCACCACACACCCCACCCAGCUGGCACCCUUGUGCUCACCCACAGCUGAAGGUCUUUUCUUACUGACACCAGUCUAUAAAGUCUGGAAGAGGUGGCUGCUUCUUCAAGUGUGCAGACAGAAACACAAGGCUACAAGGAAUGCAAAAAGUCAGUGAAACAUGACACAAAGGAACACAGCAAAUUUUCAGUAACUGACCCCAAAGAAAUGGAGAUCUAUGAAUUACCUGACAGAGAAUUUAAAAAUAAUUGUUUUAGAGAAGUUCAGUGAGCUACAAGAGAACACAGAUAGACAACUCAACAAAAUCAGGAAAACAAUAUAUGAACAAAAC